rnacentral:lncRNA from 1 species
UAAAAAUAUUUAUUUUAUACUUCAAAAAGUUUAAAAAUCUUAAAGCUCUUUUAAUCUUUUCUUUUAAAUUAUCCUUACAAAUACAUAAUUUGACAGUUCUUUAAGGUGUACGUGGCAAUUUUUCAGACUUCCACGUCUAUCUGCACUUUUUUACUUUCAAAUAGAAGAUCUUAGUCUAAAUAGAGGAUCUUGAUCAAGUUAUAGUUCCUUCCUAAGAUUGUCCUUCCCAAGAUAUAGUUCCUUCUCAAAGUUGUCCUUCCCAAGGUUUGACUAAGAAAUUUUCAAAGUUGCAUCAAUAUCCCAUUCUCUCUCUUUCCAAACAGCAAAAUAAAAAUAAAAUAUAUAUACAUAAA